rnacentral:rRNA from 1 species
UACGAAGGGGGCUAGCGUUGUUCGGAAUCACUGGGCGUAAAGCGCACGUAGGCGGAUCGUUAAGUCGGGGGUGAAAUCCCAGGGCUCAACCCUGGAACUGCCUUCGAUACUGGCGAUCUUCGAGUCCGAGAGAGGUGAGUGGAACUCCGAGUGUAGAGGUGAAAUUCGUAGAUAUUCGGAAGAACACCAGUGGCGAAGGCGGCUCACUGGCUCGGUACUGACGCUGAGGUGCGAAAGCGUGGGGAGCAAACAGGAUUAGAUACCCCAGUAGU